rnacentral:rRNA from 1 species
AUUGAACGCUGGCGGCAGGCCUAACACAUGCAAGUCGAGCGGAUGAAGGGAGCUUGCUCCUGGAUUCAGCGGCGGACGGGUGAGUAAUGCCUAGGAAUCUGCCUGGUAGUGGGGGAUAACGUCCGGAAACGGGCGCUAAUACCGCAUACGUCCUGAGGGAGAAAGUGGGGGAUCUUCGGACCUCACGCUAUCAGAUGAGCCUAGGUCGGAUUAGCUAGUUGGUGGGGUAAAGGCCCACCAAGGCGACGAUCCGUAACUGGUCUGAGAGGAUGAUCAGUCACACUGGAACUGAGACACGGUCCAGACUCCUACGGGAGGCAGCAGUGGGGAAUAUUGGACAAUGGGCGAAAGCCUGAUCCAGCCAUGCCGCGUGUGUGAAGAAGGUCUUCGGAUUGUAAAGCACUUUAAGUUGGGAGGAGGGGCAGUAAGUUAAUACCUUGCUGUUUUGACGUUACCAACAGAAUAAGCACCGGCUAACUUCGU